CGAUGAUCAGGAGCUUGCUCCUGUGAUUAGUGGCGAACGGGUGAGUAACACGUGAGUAACCUGCCCCUGACUCUGGGAUAAGCGUUGGAAACGACGUCUAAUACUGGAUAUGACUACUGGUCGCAUGGCCUGGUGGUGGAAAGAUUUUUUGGUUGGGGAUGGACUCGCGGCCUAUCAGCUUGUUGGUGAGGUAAUGGCUCACCAAGGCGACGACGGGUAGCCGGCCUGAGAGGGUGACCGGCCACACUGGGACUGAGACACGGCCCAGACUCCUACGGGAGGCAGCAGUGGGGAAUAUUGCACAAUGGGCGAAAGCCUGAUGCAGCAACGCCGCGUGAGGGAUGACGGCCUUCGGGUUGUAAACCUCUUUUAGUAGGGAAGAAGCGAAAGUGACGGUACCUGCAGAAAAAGCACCGGCUAACUACGUGCCA
rnacentral:rRNA from 1 species